GCCCCGAGGAUGAAAGAAAGAGAUUCGAAUAAAUUAAACUAUGGAAUUAUUACUCAGUGACUCAACGGUGAUGUCCUCGGGGUGUCGACAGAGACGUCCGCUCUCGGCCGGCUGUAGAAGGAGACUGGGAUGAGAUCAUGGUUUGCAGGUGGCAACAUGGCGCCCUUCGCGCCGAACACAAUUACCGUUACAACAUUCUGCGAUUCCGUGCCCCGGCGAAAGUUAAGUAAAUAAUAGAUUACAUUAAUAAAUAUAUAAAAAUUACUGGCAAUUUAAAAUACAUUAAUGUUUACGUCGUUAUUGAGAAUUAUUAUAAAACAUUCCUACCCUCGUCCAAGUCCGUGCCUAUUCGGGUCCGCCCGGGUAACGUCUAUAGUUUUAUAAUUAAUGUAAUAUUUAAAUUGAAGAAACACAUGAUUAAACUGCAACAAGACACUGGGGCAAAAUAAUGAAAGAAAAAGGGUUACAAUAUUAAUUAGCAUACUUAGGGGUGCGGCGCACUGCAUCUAAGCGCCCUCUUGCUGUAGUUCGUGGCGCGCAGUUUGAAUCGCACACGGCUACGUACGUUACGACACAAAUGCCGGGUAGGGAAGGUGUUGGGAAAGGGAACGGAGGAUGAUCAGGCUCGUGGGGCGAAGCCCCGGCUGACGUCAAUGUAUUUCUAUUUCCUUUUCAAAGUUUUAAAAAAUAGGAUGAUAACCAUAAAAUUAAACAAUAUCUCCAACACUUAGGUUUAUAAAAUGUUAUUAAUACCACCCCCUUCCAACCUGAUAGCCAUCUACUGAGAAGCUGAAGCCUUACCAUUUUAUUUAAUUUUUAGUUACCAUGUAAUGCUGUGAUAAAUUCCAUCUAUUAGAUCGGAAUCAUUUUGCCUUUCAGAAUUUUUUUCCUCGUACACGAUGGAAAACUGGUCCACACUCCCUUCGUGCCAAAGAGCUCUUAGAUUCUUUGGCUUGUGGCCCACAGAGACGCUCGCGCCUCUGUACCUUUGUCGCACGGUGGCCAUCCUCGGGUUGCAUGCGUACUACGUCAUCUAUUUCGCAGUCAUGCCCUUCUGGCAAGGUACGGACAAGAUGUUGUACUCGUACAGCUACAUCAUAAUUGCUUCAACGGCCCUGCACCGAGUCGUGAUGAUUCCAGUCAAAAAGAAACAGAUAAUGAGGCUGUGCUCGGACAUGGAGCGGAACUACACGUCCAUGGAGCCCGACAACCUGGGCUCGUCUGUCUCCAGGAAGACCCGAGACAGCAUCAAAACCUUCUGCACGUGGUACAUGUGGAGACAGACCGUCGUGAUGGCCUUCUGGUGCAUGGGAUACGUCAUGUCCAUUCUCUACGACCUCUGCGUGAAAGGCACGCCAUACUCUGAGAUCAAGAAGGAGUUGCCCUACGGAGUGCACUACUCGUUUGACUGGGAGGCAAGCCCAGCGUUCGAAUUGCUGUUUGUGUUCGAGAUGCUGCAGAUCACGACAAUCAUCUACACGAUUAGCAUUUCCGACUGCACUCUCUUCACCAUCGUAGCCCACAUCAGUGGGCAACUGCAGGCUCUCAUCGCUAAGAUACAACUAGAAGAAAUGGAGGAGAGAAAGACAGAUUCGGCUAGCUGUGUACAAACCACUACGGGGAGCAGUCGUGAAAAUAUAAAAAAAAUUAGGACCAAAAUUGAUGUUGAAUGCACCACCAACAAUUCGUCUCGGAAGCAAGAAAACUGUAGGCACAAAGAUGAACAAUUCUUGCACCAUAUAAUAACACACCACAACGAAAUUUACAGAUUUCCUUGGAUUCUCCCGGCAGCAUCUGCCGAUUCAUGAGCUGGGCACUUUAUGAAAGUAACAUACUAUACAACUACUGUCGACUGGGUGAACAACUGACUGGCUGGAGUCUGAGAGUAAAUGAUGCUCUCUUUUACCUCAGCUGGCAAGAUAAGUCUGUGGCGUUCAAAGAAACGUGCUGGAUAAUGAUGGUGCGCGCGCAGAGGCCCAUCAUCCUGAAGGCUGGCCCAUUCUACACGCUAUCUUUCCCGAGUUUCCGCAAGAUCCUGGAGUCUUCAUAUAGUUAUCUGAUGGUGUUAUUGCAGAUGAAUAAAAAACUUUAUAGAGUGUAGUUUCUAACACAGCUUAAACUGCACUGCAAUAGAUGUAAUUUAAGUCACAUUUCACCAAAAUAAAGUACCUACACUUUUAAUUAAUCAUUCAUUCAUUCAUAUUGUAACUUGUAAACACUGUUUAUAAGAGAUUAAUUUAUGAUUUUAUUUAUGAAGAUUUUUUAUAAGAUUAAUGUAUUAACACAACUCUGCACAUAAAUUGAUGAUUGAGUAAAACCUAUCAGAGUUU